AACGAACGCUGGCGGCAGGCUUAACACAUGCAAGUCGAACGCCCCGCAAGGGGAGUGGCAGACGGGUGAGUAACGCGUGGGAACGUACCCUUUACUACGGAAUAACUCAGGGAAACUUGUGCUAAUACCGUAUGUGCCCUUUGAGGGAAAGAUUUAUCGGUAAAGGAUCGGCCCGCGUUGGUUUAGCUAGUUGGUGGGGUUAAGGCCUACCAAGGCGACGAUCCAUAGCUGGUCUGAGAGGAUGAUCAGCCACAUUGGAACUGAGACACGGCCCAAACUCCUACGGGAGGCAGCAGUGGGGAAUAUUGGACAAUGGGCGCAAGCCUGAUCCAGCCAUGCCGCGUGAGUGAUGAAGGCCCUAGGGUUGUAAAGCUCUUUCACCGGUGAAGAUAAUGACGGUAACCGGAGAAGAAGCCCCGGCUAACUUCGUGCCAGCCGCCGCCGUAACAC
rnacentral:rRNA from 1 species